UACGUAGGGUGCAAGCGUUAAUCGGAAUUACUGGGCGUAAAGCGUGCGCAGGCGGUUUUGUAAGUCUGACGUGAAAUCUCCGGGCUUAACCUGGGAAUUGCGUUGGAGACUGCAAGGCUGGAGUCUGGCAGAGGGGGGUAGAAUUCCACGUGUAGCAGUGAAAUGCGUAGAGAUGUGGAGGAACACCGAUGGCGAAGGCAGCCCCCUGGGUCAAGACUGACGCUCAUGCACGAAAGCGUGGGGAGCAAACAGG
rnacentral:rRNA from 1 species